GAUGAACGCUGGCGGCGUGCUUAACACAUGCAAGUCGAACGAUCAUCUGAAUAAGGUGAUAGUGGCGAACGGGUGAGUAACACGUAGGUGACCUGCCCCAGAGAGGGGAAUAACUGCUGGAAACGGUAGCUAAUACCCCAUGCGCUCGGCAGUUCGGUCUGUCGAGCAAAGCUCCGGCGCUCUGGGAGGGCCUGCGGCCCAUCAGGUAGUUGGUAGGGUAAUGGCCUACCAAGCCUAUGACGGGUAGGGGCGUGAGAGCGUGGUCCCCCACACUGGCACUGAGACACGGGCCAGACUCCUACGGGUGGCUG
rnacentral:rRNA from 1 species